CCUACGGGUGGCAGCAGUGAGGAAUAUUGGUCAAUGGGCGGAAGCCUGAACCAGCCAAGUAGCGUGCAGGAUGACGGCCCUACGGGUUGUAAACUGCUUUUAUACGGGAAUAACGCGCCUUACGUGUAGGGCUUUGCAUGUAACGUAUUAAUAAGGCACGGGUAAUUCCGUGCCCGCAGCGGCGGUAAUACGGAAGGGCCGGGCGUUAUCCGGAUUUAUUUGGUUUAAAGGGCGCGUAGGCCGCAUGUCAAGCGUGCUGUGAAAUGUCCGGGCUCAACCCGGGCCUUGCAGCGCGAACUGGCGUGCUUGAGUCCGCGGAAAGCAGGCGGAAUUCGUCGUGUAGCGGUGCAAUGCUUAGAUAUGACGAAGAACCCCGAUUGCGAAGGCAGCUUGCUGCAGCGGAACUGACGCUGAUGCUCGAAAGCGCGGGUAUCGAACAGGAUUAGAUACCCUGGUAGUC
rnacentral:rRNA from 1 species